rnacentral:tRNA from 2 species
GGACGUGUAGCUCAGUCGGUUAGAGCACUGCGUUUACAUCGCAGGUGUCGGGGGUUCGAGUCCCUCCACGUCCA